rnacentral:rRNA from 1 species
GGGCCUACCAGGCGACGAUCAGUAGUUGGUCUGAGAGGACGACCAGCCACACUGGGACUGAGACACGGCCCAGACUCCUACGGGAGGCAGCAGUGGGGAAUUUUGGACAAUGGGCGCAAGCCUGAUCCAGCAAUGCCGCGUGAGUGAAGAAGGCCUUCGGGUUGUAAAGCUCUUUCAGUCGAGAAGAAAAGGCUGCAGUGAAUAACUGUAGUUUAUGACGGUAUCGACAGAAGAAGCACCGGCUAACUACGUGCCAGCAGCCGCGGUAAUACGUAGGGUGCGAGCGUUAAUCGGAAUUACUGGGCGUAAAGGGUGCGCAGGCGGUUUUGUAAGUCAGAUGUGAAAUCCCCGGGCUUAACCUGGGAAUU